AACAAGAAAGGAUUUAAAGUUCGUGUGGGAUGACAGUUCUGAAGAAGCUUUCAGAUAACUUAAGCCAAGAUUGACUACGGCGACUAUUCUCACUGUGCCUAAUAAGUGAUGAACCAUUUGUGGUUUUUACUGAUGCUUCUGGUACUGGUUUAGGUGGAGUUCUCAUGCCAAAUCGCAAGGUUGUUGCCUAUGUUUCACGCCAAUUGAAGAUACAUGAGAAGAACUACCCCACACAUGACUUGGAACUUGCAGCAGUGAUUUUUUUGCCUUGAAAAUGUGGAGAUGUUACUUAUAUGGGGAAAAGUUUGAAUUAGAAUCUGAUCAUAAGAGUUUAAAGUAUCUCUUUACUCAAAGAGACUUGAAUUUGAGGCAAAGAAGAAGGGUCGAGUACAGGGCAAAUUAUGAUUUCACUUUGAAAUACCCUCAUGGAAAAGCAAAUGCGGUUGCUACACAGUGCUACUUCAACAAGUUAAGCAAUGUCAAUGGCAAGAUGAGAAAUUGAGACUUAUCUAGAAUCAAAUCCAAAACAGUGAGCAGUUAGAUGGAUGGACAGUAAAUGCUAAAGGAUUCUUAUACCAUAAGGGAAGAUUAGUCAUUGCAAAUAUCCCUGAUCUUAGAGAGUCUGUUAUGAGUGAGGCCCAUAGGUCUAAGUUUGUUGUACAUCCUGGAAGCACAAAGAUGUACCAAGAUUUGAAAAGACAAUAUUGAUGGGAAGGUAUGAAGAGAGACGCGACUAACUUUGUAGCUAAGUGUAUGGUUUGCCAACAGGUUAAAGCUAAGCACCAGAGACCUUCAGGGUUGCUUCAACCUUUACCUAUACCAGAAUGGAAGUGGGACGAGAUCACAAUGGACUUUGUGAUGGGAUUACCAUUAACACCAUUAAAGCAUGACAUUGUCCGGUUGAUUGUCGAUUGUUUGACCAAAUCUGCUCAUUUCAUUCAAAUUAGGAAGGAUUGUAAGGUUUGUGAACUAGGUCGACUUCAUGUGGGUAAUAUACUUCGACUGCAUGGGUUGCCUUCCAGCAUUGUUUCUGAGAGAGAUCCUCGAUUUACAUCAAAGUUUUGGCGAGCAUUGCAAGAAGCUUUAGGAACUGAACUUAACUUGAGCAUCGCUCACCACCCUUAGACAGAUGGACAGUCUGAGAGGACUAUCCAAACUUUGGAGGACAUGCUUUGUUCUUGUAUUUUGGAUUUUGGGGGUAGCUGGGGAGAACACUUUUCAUUGGUGGAAUCCACUUAUAAUAACAGCUACCAGGCCAGUAUAGGCAUGGCUCCUUAUGAUGCCUUGUAUGGGAGGCCAUGCAGAUCACAUUUGUGUUAGGAAGAACCAGAUUAGCAUGUCACAAUUGGAUCUCAAAUUUCUAGUACUACUGGGAAGAUCAGAGAAUUUUUUUUUUUUUUUCUCCAAGAAAGACUUAAGGUUGUUCAAAGUCGUCAGAAGAGUUAUGCCGAUCUCCUCCGAUGAGAAGUUCAGCUUAAGGUUGGUGACUAUGUCUUCUUGAAAGUUACUCCCAUGCUUGGUGUGGCGAGAUUUGGAGUGAAGGGUAAGCUAGCCCCGAGGUAUAUUGGACCUUUCGAGGUUAUCGAGAGGGAUGGGGAGGUCGCUUAUCGAUUGAACUUACCAGCGCGGUUGGGACAUGUUCACAAUGUGUUCCAUGUGUCGAUGCUGAGGAAGUAUACUCCAGACCCAUCGCACAUCAUUGAGUAUGAGGCUAUCCCUCUUCAAGAGGACGUGACAUGUGAAGAACAACUUAUCAGAAUUUUAGCGAGAAAGUUAAAGGUGCUAAGGAAUAAAGAGAUUCCCGUAGUCAAGGUCUUAUGGCGAAACCAUAGAGAAGACGGGGCUACUUGGGAGUUAGAGUUGGAGUUGUACGAGGAGUAUCCUUAUUUGUUUAAUUUUCAGUUUGGGGUUGUACUUUGAAAAUUUCGGGACGAAAUUUCUUUAAGGAGGGAAGAAUGUGAAACCUGAGACUUUUCUCAGGUUGGAAAAGUCAAAAAGGGGAGGAAAAUAAAGAAAAAAAUAUAUUUUAAUUUAAUUAUAUAUUCAGUUUUUUUUUCUUUUCUUUUUCUUUCUCUCUCCCCGACACUCUCCUCCUCCUCUUCUUCUUCUUCUUCUUCUUCUUCUUCUUCUUCUCUCGGCAUCCCAUGGCAAGGCACCAGACCCAACCACCAUCGGCCACCAUUUUUGACGCGCGGCAGCUCAUUGGUUUCGCCUUGCUCCGGCGACCUCAACUGCCAAGCGGCACCGCCCAACUCACCGUCAAUCGUUCGGAAUCGCCAGUCAAAGUUUUGGUCCGUCAACUUUGACUGUGUUUUUCGGCCAACUUCGACCACCUCUUGACGAGUGGUUGAUACCCUUGGAACCAGCGUGGAGAGAGGAACAAAACCCACUAAUUCAUUCCGGUCAACUCGUCGUUUUUCUCCGGCAAGAUUUUGGGUAUCUCCGCCCUUUGGAAGCGUUUUCCGGCGACACCGGAGGUCAUUUGGGCGAAGGAGCUGUACUUUCGUGAUGUACCCAUCGAGAGGAUCGUUUUGAUAUAUGCUAUGCAUAUAUUCGUCGACGUUUCCGGUACUGCCACCAACCGCUAUAGUGCACCGCUUGGGAAAAGCGUGAUAUUAAAAUUGGACUAAAUCAUUCUAAGAUCAUCGAUAAGCUUAGGAGCAUUGCUUUGGGCUCGGAUUAAAUUCUAAGGAGGUAUCUAAAGAGGAGCCUAGUGACGCGAACGUGGAAAAGUAUGAAUUAUUGCUGAAGCCAAUGUGUUUAGUGCCAUAGUCCUAUCUUUUGAACAUUGUAUGUAUUUAAUUUGGAUACUAUUGGUCUGUACAUCUAAAUUAGCUAUGUCCUAGUUAGAAAUGAGGAAUGGUGGAUGCUAAGUAUUAUUUUGGGUAUUUUAUGACUUAUUAAAUUUAACUGUUUGGUGACUACAUAACUGUGGGGAUAUUAUUAUUCUAUGUAUUAAGAUAAAUGAUCCUACUUUUAUCCGUAA